rnacentral:lncRNA from 1 species
GUUGGUACCGGAUUUAUACCAAAAUAAUGGACUUGAUUGGUAUUCAAACCAAGAUAUGUUGGACGGUUACCAGAGGAGAAGGACUCAGUCCUAUUGAAAGCUGUGAAGGAUUGGGAGAUCCUGCUUGCUUUUAUGUUGCUGUAAUUUUUAUUUUAAAUGGACUAAUGAUGGCAUUAUUCUUCAUAUAUGGCACAUAUUUAAGUGGCAGCCGAUUAGGAGGCCUGGUUACAGUGUUGUGCUUCUUUUUCAAUCAUGGAGAGUGUACCCGUGUAAUGUGGACACCACCUCUCCGUGAAAGCUUCUCAUAUCCAUUUCUUGUUCUUCAGAUGUUGCUAGUGACUCAUAUUCUCAGGGCUACAAAACUUUAUAGAGGAAGCUUGAUUGCACUCUGCAUUUCCAAUGUAUUUUUCAUGCUUCCUUGGCAGUUUGCUCAGUUUGUACUUCUUACUCAGAUUUCUCUUGCACUUUGUUUUGUUUUGAUGUUUGGGAACUCAAUGUUAUUAACUUCUUAUUAUGCUUCUUCUUUGGUAAUUAUUUGGGGUAUUCUGGCAAUGAAACCACAUUUCCUGAAAAUAAAUGUAUCUGAACUUAGUUUAUGGGUUAUUCAAGGAUGUUUUUGGUUAUUUGGAA